GAUGAACGCUGGCGGCGUGCCUAAUACAUGCAAGUCGAGCGAAUGGAUUAAGAGCUUGCUCUUAUGAAGUUAGCGGCGGACGGGUGAGUAACACGUGGGUAACCUGCCCAUGAGACUGGGAUAACUCCGGGAAACCGGGGCUAAUACCGGAUAACAUUUUGAACCGCAUGGUUCGAAAUUGAAAGGCGGCUUCGGCUGUCACUUAUGGAUGGACCCGCGUCGCAUUAGCUAGUUGGUGAGGUAACGGCUCACCAAGGCAACGAUGCGUAGCCGACCUGAGAGGGUGAGCGGCCAAACUGGGACUGAGACACGGCCCAGACUCCUACGGGAGGCAGCAGUAGGGAAUCUUCCGCAAUGGACGAAAGUCUGACGGAGCAACGCCGCGUGAGUGAUGAAGGCUUUCGGGUCGUAAAACUCUGUUGUUAGGGAAGAACAAGUGCUAGUUGAAUAAGCUGGUACCUUGACGGUACCUAACCAGAAAGCCACGGCUAACUACGUGCCAGCCGCCGCAGUAA
rnacentral:rRNA from 1 species